rnacentral:rRNA from 1 species
CCUACGGGUGGCAGCAGUGAGGAAUAUUGGUCAAUGGACGAGAGUCUGAACCAGCCAAGUAGCGUGAAGGAUGACUGCCCUAUGGGUUGUAAACUUCUUUUAUAAAGGAAUAAAACGAGGCACGUGUGCCUUUUUGCAUGUACUUUAUGAAUAAGGAUCGGCUAACUCCGUGUCAGCAGCCGCGGUAAUACGGAGGAUCCGAGCGUUAUCCGGAUUUAUUGGGUUUAAAGGGAGCGUAGAUGGGUUGGUAAGUCAGUUGUGAAAGGUUGCGGCUCAACCGUAAAAUUGCAAUUGAUACUGGCAGUCUUGAGUACAGUUGAGGUAGGCGGAAUUCGUAGUGUAGCGGUGAAAUGCUUAGAUAUCACGAAGAACCCCGAUUGCGAAGGCAGCUUACUAAACUGUGACUGACAUUGAUGCUCGAAAGUGUGGGUAUCAAACAGGAUUAGAUACCCGUGUAGUC